rnacentral:lncRNA from 1 species
AGAUAAUGUCUUGCUCCCUUGUCUAGAGAUUCUCUUCUAAAUCUUUUUAACUUAGAUAAACAAUAACUGCUCCCUUAUUUAAUUUAAUUAGUAUUUAGUCCAUGGCAUGGGGGAGACAACAAACUAACACAACUACUCCUAAGACAAAAUGAGGUCAAGAGAGAUGAGUUUAAAAUUCACUCAACUCACCUUUUCAUAAUAUUUACUGCAUCCAAAUCCAAAUAGCAGCAGAUGUCCAUGAGAGUCUGUGCAGGCAAAAUGCUGUCCAUCUGGUGAGAACUUGCAAUCAAAAACAGCUCCAUGGCCUUGGCCCUCAAUCAUGUUAAAGUAAUUACGAAUUUUUGUUCCUUUGUCUAUAUCCCAUAUGAAAAUAUUUCCAUCGUGACCCGCGGAAAGUACAAUCCUUUGGUCAAAUGGAUGGGCCUCCAGAACAAAAACUUCAUCAUCAUGACCAGAUAAGCUAUGAAGAAGCUGCCCUGUGGAUGAGUUCCACACUUUGAGAAGGAAAUUGUUGACUGCAGUGAUGACAGUGGCAUCAUAUCUAUCCCAAGCCACCAUUGUAACCUUCAGUUUAGUCACCUUGUCCUCCCCAGAUGCUACAUUGUUUCCUGUCAUUUUAGUUGCCAUAUCCAGG